rnacentral:rRNA from 1 species
UCUGUGAAAUUCCGGGGCUUAACUUCGGGGUGGCAGGCGAUACGGGCAUAACUAGAGUGCUGUAGGGGAGACUGGAAUUCCUGGUGUAGCGGUGGAAUGCGCAGAUAUCAGGAGGAACACCGAUGGCGAAGGCAGGUCUCUGGGCAGUAACUGACGCUGAGGAGCGAAAGCAUGGGGAGCGAACAGGAUUAGAUACCCUGGUAGUCCAUGCUGUAAACGGUGGGCGUUAGGUGUGGGGACCGGUUUGGUUUCUGUGCCGUAGCUAACGCAUUAAGCGCCCCGCCUGGGGAGUACGGCCGCAAGGCUAAAACUCAAAGGAAUUGACGGGGGCCCGCACAAGCGGCGGAGCAUGUGGAUUAAUUCGAUGCAACGCGAAGAACCUUACCUGGGUUUGACAUGCACCAGACGGUUGUAGAGAUACGUACCUCCCUUUGUGGUUGGUGUGCAGGUGGUGCAUGGUUGUCGUCAGCUCGUGUCGUGAGAUGUUGGGUUAAGUCCCGCAACGAGCGCAACCCUUGUCUUAUGUUGCCAGCACUUUGGGUGGGGACUCAUGAGAGACUGCCGGGGUUAACUCGGAGGAAGGUGGGGAUGACGUCAAAUCAUCAUGCCCUUUAUGCCCAGGGCUUCACACAUGCUACAAUGGUUAGUACAACGCGCUGCGAACCUGUGAGGGUGAGCGAAUCGCUGAAAGCUAAUUUCAGUUCGGAUUGGGGUCUGCAACUCGACCCCAUGAAGUCGGAGUCGCUAGUAAUCGCAGAUCAGCAAUGCUGCGGUGAAUACGUUCCCGGGCCUUGUACACACCGCCCGUCACGUCAUGAAAGUUGGUAACACCCGAAGCCCAUGGCCUAACCACCGUUUGGUGGGGGGAGUGGUCGAAGGUGGGAUUGG